AAGAGAAGAUGGUAGAAAGUAUUAGUUGAUCUCUUGGAUCCUGGCUGAGUAAUUAGUAGGUGUUAUUCCGACAAUCACCAGCCAAUUUGCAGGAGACCCAUCGUUAUCCGUUUAUUGCUGAGGGAGACGUACCGGUGGCAUGUGAGGUGAAGGAUACAUGAGUGGUUAUCAUGGCGCGUCUUCUGACUGCGUCCGCUCGACUCCUUCCCGCCGCCGGCAGCGGCGAUGUUGAAGGCCAUUAUCGGAUCUUCGGAAGAGCCAGUGAGAGCUGUGCCGCUCAACACCGUCGUCCAUCUCCGCCUGACACUACCAUCCCUCCAUUCCUCAUCGCCCGCGAACCACCAUCCAUCAGAAGAAGACCCAUUUCGACAACGGGUAGAGGAGGGAGAGGAGUAAGAACGCUUUCUCCUCCUCGUCCUUCUCCUUCGAGAAACGUUCCUUCUGCUGGAUGGUUUCUGGGUUUCGGGCAGAAAGAAAUGGUACUGCCGGAGAUAGUGAAGGCCGGCGACCCGGUGCUUCACGAACCCGCGAGCGAGGUCGCAUUGCAGGAUGUCGGCUCGGAACGGAUCCAGAAAGUGAUCGACGACAUGGUCGCGGUGAUGAGGAAGGCUCCCGGCGUCGGUCUUGCUGCCCCUCAAAUUGGUAUUCCUCUGAAGAUCAUAGUUUUGGAGGAUACAGAAACUUAUAUUAGUUAUGCUUCCAAGGAGGAAACUAGAGCCCAGGACAGGCGGCCCUUUGAACUUCUGGUGAUUAUAAACCCAAAACUUACGAAGAAGGGUGACAGAACUGCAAUGUUUUUCGAAGGCUGCUUGAGUGUUGAUGGUUUUAGAGCACUUGUUGAGCGCCACCUUGAGGUUGAAGUUACAGGACUCGGGCGGGACGGCCGGCCGCUUAAAGUGGAAGCUGUUGGGUGGAAGGCUCGCAUAUUACAGCAUGAGUGUGACCAUCUUGAUGGCACCAUUUAUGUAGAUAAAAUGAUCCCAAGAACAUUCAGAACCGUUGAGAAUUUGAAUUUACCUUUACCCUCUGGGUCUCCCAAGCUGGGCGUUUGUUGAUUUUUCUUCAAGGAGCAGGCAUGUAUGUCUGACGCUAUAUUUUGUUGGAAGUGCCAUUGAUAUCCUUCUUGCUGACAGCAAGCAAUCAUGUAGCUGAUCCUGCAAAAUUACGGUAACAACCGUGGAAGUCAGCAAUGUGCAGCCAUUAGACCUUUGAAUUCCUCUGGAGUUGAUCAAUUCCCCUACGUUUCAGAACACGGCCGAGCGGAUAAAGAGACGCCUAUUUUGGCACCUUCUGCAUCUCCCUCCUCGCUGUCGCUGCUGUUCUUUCACUCCCUCUCUAUAAAAUUGACUUGAAUAGGUCCCUACUAACAUCAGUAGAUCAGAUCUAGCCUUGUUGGUGGUCGAAAUAGCCGGCAUAGUUGCAGCACCAUGAAGGAGAGCUUCGAUUUCUUUGCUCCGCCACCUCCUCCUCCUCCCUUUGACAUCUCGGAGCCCCAGCAGUCUGAGCCCAGCCCUCUCACCGCGAAUGCCAGCGAUAAAGAGAGUGGUCGAGUCGGGUUCGAGCAGAAGCGAGCAGUUGGUAAGCUCCGUGACAGCAGAGAUGGCAGCAGGUUUGGCACAGACUUCCGGAAGGCUACCGUGAAACCAGAAGAGGAUAUAGAUCAGUCUGCUGAGGCCUUCAUCAAGAAAUUUCAUACAGAGCUGCGCAUGCAACGCCUGGAGUCGAUUGAGAAUUACCAUCAAAUGCUAGCAAGAGGAACUUAAACAGUCUGUUGCUAUUACCAUCAUCACUGACAACAUUCAUUUACCUUGUGCAUAGUUGAAGAAUCAGUCCAGGAGUUGUAAGGUUUGAGUUUGUCAGGGGUUGGAUGGAUAGCUUUGAUUGUGGUUCUGUGGUCAGUUUGGAUUUUCGUUUCUUCAUAGGAUGUUCUUCAUGAACAACUCAUAUAUUUUCUUUACCUUGAAUUCUUUUGCUAGGAAUCCAUUCUUUAUAUAUGUUAUUACUUAUAAAACAAGUUCAUUUAGUUCUUGAAAA